CCCGGUGAGUUAACGAGACGCAGCUGGCGCUUAAAGAUGACGUAAAAGCCGGUAUAAGUACCGCCCUCUUUCUUCGUCACAUCCUCUUUCGUUGCUCUUCUCGCUUUGGGACCCUUCCCCACACGAUGAGAGCCAAGUGGAGGAAGAAGCGUAUGCGCAGGCUGAAGCGUAAAAGGAGAAAGAUGAGGCAGAGGUCAAAGUAAGCCCUCAUCCCCGUCAGCUGUGAUCCCGUCGGUGCUUCUCCAGAGGACUGACACAGGAGGCUGAAGUGGACUGUGGAGCCUCAAUUUGUGGGAUAAAGGCCUCAAAACCUGAGUUCAGAUGACUGCACGUCUUAUGGAUCCAACUGUGAAUGUCUGACUGGAUGAUGGCAACAACGCUGGACAGAUCUCUCAACAUCAGAGCUGCAGCUGCUUUGUUCAUGGACCAUAUUACAUACGUUCACAACAACUGUCACAUGGUGUAUUGAACAAUAAAUGAACACUGUUAAAGUUUA